UCCACUUGCAAGGGCUUAAAUAAAUAGGAACUUAUUUUUUCAGCUAACAAGAAGUUUGGAGGUAGGCAGAUACUGGUGUUGGUUCAUGAAUUCAACAGUGUCAGGGUCAGCAUCUGUGCAGUUCUUUUGGAUGUCCCCUCGUGGUUGCAAGGCCAUUGCUGCAGCUCCAUCCAUCACAUCUGUAUUUCAGGCAGGAAAAAAAAAAAAAAAGAAGAAGAAGUAGAAAACGGGAACAGCAAUGCCAACUGCUUCUUUUUAUCAGAAAGGCAAAAGCUUUCCCAGAAUACUUCACGACAACUUACCUGUAGGUCUCACUGUCCAAAACUGGGCACAUUGCCACCUGAACAAAUUUAGGGUUCUGUUGGCAUGCAAGAGGGAAGGAUAACCUAUAGGGUACCCUAAAACAUAGAAGUCAUGGUCACUGUUCUGAAAAAAAAAAAAAUUUAGGGUUCUGUUGGCAUGCAAGAGGGAAGGAUAACCUAUAGGGUACCCUAAAACAUAGAAGUCAUGGUCACUGUUCUGAAGGACCUGAUAAUGGCUUUAUAGAAACAAAAUAUAUGCAUGUACAUUUGAAUAAUAAUACCAGAGUUAAGAAAAGUUAUAAGACAAUAAUGUAAGUUACAGGGCAGACAUUUUAGAGGAGAUGGGAAUUGUAGGGGUUUUAUUUUUUUUAAUCUAUCCCACCUCAUUUUCAGGAGGGCUGUUGUGAAGAACCAUGCAUCUCAGCUGAACUCUGUGGAUAGCCUCUUGCUUGCCCAUGGUGCCAUGCUUGCAUCACCUGCCAGAGAAAACCAGUGUUCUGAGUGAGUGUCCAGAUGAAGUGCCCUUGGCAGGAUUGAUGAACAGGAAGUGGUAAACUUUGACCUGGUCCUGGGAGAAUGAGAAGAUACUACAAGGACCGAGGAAAGGGUCCUGAACACAACUCCAGAAGUUAAUUUUAUAUUGAGCUGCUCACAGCUCUGUGGGUCUCCUGCAGAUUAACUGGGCUAGGCAUUCUGUCCCAGGCCUCAGGCUGCAGGUUGGGUUCAAGUCUGCUCCGCAUGUCUUGUUCUGGAGCCUAGGCCAAAGGGUCAGCAGCUACCUAGAGCAUGUUCUUCUCAUGGUGGAUCAGCAGAGCACAAGGGAGCACCCCAGCCACGCAAGCACAUUUCAGGCCUCUGUUGACAUCAGGUGUCCAGCCAGAAGUUGCGAGGCAGGUGUCUUCCACUCUCCAUGAAGCCGUUAGUGGACUGUGAAUGAUUUUAUUACAAGAGGAUGACAAACAUGGACCAGUAAUUCAGUGUCUCAGCAGCUUCCUCUCUGUGGACUUUGUCACAUGAAUUUCGGAAGGAUGGAGUGUUUUCCUGGUUGACACCUUAGAAUCGCUCUUUGUGGCACAGUCAGAAAUAUUCCCAGGUCUCACUGGCUGCUGCGAAGUCUGAGCUGCUGAAGACAACCUCUGAGUGUCACUUGACACAGUGUGCGAGGUCGGGCGUGGCUGAGCUGCUUGUCUGGACACAAAGCCAGAGCAUUAUGUGCCCUGCAGAAGGCCCAUCGCCCUGGAGCCUGCCCAGGAAGGAGACUGACACGUGUGGGUCAUUCCACGGAGCCUUUUCCUCUUCACAGAGCAGAGCAGUCCUUACACUUCCAGAAGAAAAUGACAGGGAAUGUGCUCAGACAGAGGGACAACGUUACCACUGCCUUCUGGACAGCCCUUUCUUUGUGGACUCGUACCGGUCAUUCUUUUACCCAUCGUAUCUAAUCCUUUUUUUUUUUUUUUAUCUAAUCCACUUCUAUUUUGUGUUCUUUAAUAAAGGAAAGAAAGGCAACAGUUAUUUCAUGAAUUCCUUCUGUGUGCUACAAGCAGCGCUGUGCGUGCUGGAGAUGGUUUGUAUAGGCUCACGAGAGCCAGCUGUUUGCUUUCCAGGAAUUUUGCAAGAAACUGUUAAACAGGGCCUUAAUCAAAAAUUAAAAUAUGUUAACAUAAUUAAAAAUAAUAUAAACUAUAUUAAAAUGAAAGAUAAAUAUUCACAACUCAUCACUUUUUAAUUAUUUGACUACAUUUUACUGUUACUUACGCUGUAGCAGUUAUUUAUGUCUGUGGUAUCUGUAUGUUGGGAAUAUUGUAAAUACCUUGCUACUGCGCAACUCUGUCGUACUGGUGGCUUGGAAUUGGCCAUGAUGGCGGUAUUUAAGUGGUGCAAACAGUUUGUGAUCAUCUACUAACCUAAAGGUUUGGUGGUUUGAACCCACAGAGCAGAGCUGUAGAAGAAAAGCCUGGCAAUCUGCUUCCAUAAAGAUUACAGCCAAGAAAAUCGUACGGGGCAGUUGUACUCUGUAACACACAGAGUCAUCGUGAGCCAGAAUUGACUCGAUGGCAACAAAGUUCCUUUAGUCAGUAUUUAUGCCACAGAAAUCAAGAAACCCUACAAAUCAGGUCUUGAUUUAUUGCUUUGUUGAUUGCCUUAGAAAGUGAUGGAAAAAAGUGAAGAACAUGAUUAAACUUAAAAGUGUGUCAUGUCUGUAGCCAUUACGUUAUGAAUGCCACAAAAAAUUGUGGAUAUAUUUUUCCAGUAUUCAAAACUAUUGCUGGAUUCAGCAAAGAAGUUGCUCGUGUCAUUGACUAAGGAGUGAAGUCUCACAUACAUUUUUGUUGUUUCACUUUUGUCUUACUCAUUAACGUGAACAAAAAUGUCAGCAGCACAUCCGUGUCUUAUGUUGUUGUUGGUAGGUGUCAUGGAGUCGAUUUGUCUCAUACUCCUACUCAUCCCAACCCCAUGUGACAGGGUAGAACUGCCCCAUAGGAUUUUCUAGGCUGUAAUCUUUACGGGAGCAGAUUGCCAGGUCUUUCUCCCAUGGAGCUUCUGGGUGGGUUCUAACUGCCAGCCUUCAGUUAGCAGCUGAGCACUUAACCGUUGUGCCACCAAGGCUCCUAUCCAUGUUGUAGCUACACUUAUUUGUCACUUGCAGCCCUAAUUUGGCUAUGGAUACAAUGGCAAAAAUCAAUGAAAGCAUUUCAUGAAGAAUUAAUAACGAGUUUAUCAUGUAUUAGUAGUAAAUUAUGUUCUAUGUAUCUUUUCUAUCAAUAACAUUUAUAAUAGUUAUAAUCUAUAACACGUAUACAUGCACAAUUUUUGGAGAGCCAAUUGUAAUUUUUAGCUAUUCUUAGCUAUUAGUUACUCUGCCGUGAGCAUAUUUCCCUCCUUAUCUCACUCUCCAAGACCCAGUUCAGAGGCAAAUUUAUUCCUUCUUUGGGGUCCUCUAGAUUGGUCACAGCCCUUUCUGAAGUGCAUUAGGGUCUAUGCAGGUCCUGAGCAGAAAACAGAGAUUUCUUAGGACAAACACAGUUGAAGGAUGGGGACCUUGAAUUCUUCAGCUCUGAAACUCUAGAUCUGAGCUAAGUGUUUGGAACAUAAACCCAUUGUCAUUGAGUUGAUUCUGACUCAUAGCAACUCUAUAGCACAGAGUAGAACUGCCCCACAGGGUUUCCAAGGAGCAGCUGGUAGAAUCAAACUGCCCAUCUUUUGGUUAGCAACCAAACGCUUAACCACGGAGCCACCAGGGCUCCGUAAGAGGUACCCAAGAAGUGUUGGUUGAAAAACAUAGCCAGUGCCUUGUGGUCUGAGAUAGAGAUAAAGAGAAAAGGAGGAGAUCACAUAUAUAGAAAAGAAACAAUCGAGAAUACUAUAGACCACCUUUCUUUUUAAUUAAUAGACUAUUUUUGAGAGUUGAGAUUCUGCAAAGUACAGAGAUCCUGUACACCCCUUUACCCCACCACAGUUUCUUCAAUUAUUAACAUCUUGCAUUAGUAUGUUACACAUGUUAUCGUUGAUGAAUGAAUAUUGAUACAUUGUUAUUAAGUAAAGUCUUUAGCUCACAUUAGGGUUCACCCUUAGUGUUGUUCAGUCCUGUGCAUUUUGACAAAUGCUUAAUGUCAUGUAUCCACCAUUACAGUAUCAUACAGAAUAGUUUAACUGCCCUAAAAAUGCCCUGCAUUCCACGUAUUCAGCACCUCCGCCCCAUCCCAUCAACCACUGAUCUCUUCACCGUCUCUGUAGUUUUGCCUUUUCCAGAAUGUCAUAUAGUUGUAAUCAUACGGUAUGUGGAAUUUUCAGACUGGUUUCUUGCACUUAUUUCCUUUCCUUGUCUUUCUGUGUUAGGCAGGACUUGCCGUGUGAUGUCGAAUAGCAAUGGGGAGCAGGAACAUAUUUGCCUUGUUUCUGAUCUUAGGGGAACAUCAUCUAGCUUCUCACCAUUAAGUGUGACAUCAGCUGUAGGUUUUUGUAGGUGUUCUUUAUUAAGUGGAGGACGAGCCUUCUCUAUUCCUAGUUUGCUGGGAGUUUUUUUUUUUUUUAAAUCAUAAAUGGGUGAUGAUUUUACACCACUUUUAAAAUGUAAAUUUCCUUAGGAUUCCUGAAGGUGACAACCUGUAUAAAAUACAGCCAAGCUUUGGUUGACAAAAGCCCGAUGAAUGAAAACCCUUGAUGAGAUGGAAUUAUUUGGAGGUGAUCAUGUGUAGAGAAGAAUGAGACAAGUCACAAGGUAACCAGGACAACUCAGGCAGUCGUCCUACCACUUGUUUGCCAGCUUGUACUGUGGUGGCUUUCAUGUUGCUGUGAUGCUGGAAGCUAUGCUACCACCAAUAUUUCGAAUACCAGUGGAGUCGCCCAUGGGGGACAGAUUUCAGUGGAGCUUCCAGAUUAAGAUAGACUGUUAAGAAGGACAUGAUGACUUCUUUAAAAAACUGGCCAAUGAAAACCUUCUGCAUAGCAGUGGAACAUUGUCUGAUACAGUGCUAGAAGACAAGCCCCUCAUUUUGGAAGGCACUCAAAAGACGACUGGGGCGGAGCUGCCUCCGUAAAGCAGAGUAGACCUUGAUGACUAUGACGGAGUCAAGCUUUCCGGAUCUUCGUACGCUGAUGUGGCAAGACUCAAAAUGAGAAGAAACAACUGCAAACAUCCAUUAAUAAUCGGAAUGUGGAAAGUACAUAGUAUAAAUCUAGGAAAACUGGAAGUCUUCAACAAUGAAGUAGAACACGUAAAGACUGAUAUUCUAGGCAUUAGUGAGUAUGAAAUGGACUUGUGUUGGUCAUUUUAAAUCAGACAAUCAUGUGGUCUACCCUGCUAGAAAUGACAAACUGAAGAGGAGUGGUGUCACGUUCAUUGUCAAAAAGAACUGUUCAAGGCCUAUCCUGAAGUACAGUGCUGUCAGUGAUAGGAUAAUAUCCAUACUCUUACAAGGAAGACCAGUUCAUAUGACUAUGAUGCCAAUUUAUACACCAACCACUAAUGUCCUAUAGAGUCGCUAUGAGUCAGAGUUGACUCCGUGGC